UGUCAAGGGAUGGGAAUCGAACCCACGACCUUCCGCUUACCGGGCAGAUGCCAUGACCUUUAGGCUACCCUGGAC
rnacentral:tRNA from 1 species